rnacentral:rRNA from 1 species
UACAGAGACCUCAAACGUUAUCCGGAUUUAUUGGGCGUAAAGGGUCCGCAGGCGUUCUAUCGCAUCUUUGGUUAAAUCUUUGUGCUUAACAUAAAGACUGCCGAAGAGAUGGGUAGAAUAGAGUCCGGGAGAGGCAAGCAGAACUAUCGGUGUAGUCGUAAUAAGCGCUGAUAUCGAUAGGAAUACCAAAGGCGAAGGCAGCUUGCUGGAACGUGACUGACGCUCAGGGACGAAAGCGUGGGUAGCGAAUGGG